UACGUAGGGUGCGAGCGUUAAUCGGAAUUACUGGGCGUAAAGCGUGCGCAGGCGGUUCGCUGUGUCCUGUGUGAAAGCCCCGGGCUUAACCUGGGAAUGACAUGGGAAACUGGCGGGCUGGAGUGUGGCAGAGGGGGGUGGAAUUCCGCGUGUAGCAGUGAAAUGCGUAGAGAUGCGGAGGAACACCGAUGGCGAAGGCAGCCCCCUGGGCUAACACUGACGCUCAGGCACGAAAGCGUGGGGAGCAAACAGG
rnacentral:rRNA from 1 species